AAAAGAAGAAGACUGGAAUUGUUGUGCUUUUGGAGUAUCUUCGCGCGCGAGUCUCUCACUUUCCGUGUUCUUCCUCUGUCAACCCCGUACUCAACAAUGAGCUCCUCAAGUGCAAGUGCUGACUGCCUUGGAUGGGCAGCAAGAGAUGAGUCUGGAGUUCUAUCACCAUACAACUUCAGCCGCAGGAUUCUUGGAGUUGAUGAUGUUUCAAUAAGAAUUACACACUGUGGAGUUUGUUAUGCUGAUGUAAUUUCGACAAGGAAUCGACAUGGGAAUUCGAAGUAUCCUUUGGUACCUGGGUAAGUUAUACUAGACUAAUUGUAUACCAAGGAUAUGUUGUACGUCUUAGGUUUCCUUGAUCUAAUGUAUCUGUAAUUGCACACCAAACAUGAGAUUGCUGGAAUUGUGAAAGAGGUAGGUUCCAAUGUUCCCCGCUUCAAGGUUGGUAACCAUAUUGGAGUGGGAACCUAUGUCAACUCAUGCAGGAAUUGUGAGUAUUGCAACGAUGAUGAAGAAGUUUAUUGUGUAAAAGGACUAGUUUUCACUUUUAAUAAAGUGGGUGUGGAUGGUACUAUUACAAAAGGAGGAUAUUCAAGUUAUAUUGUUGUGCAUGA